UACGGAGGGAGCUAGCGUUGUUCGGAAUUACUGGGCGUAAAGCGCGCGUAGGCGGCUUUGUAAGUUAGAGGUGAAAGCCCGGGGCUCAACCCCGGAAUUGCCUUUAAGACUGCAUCGCUUGAAUCCGGGAGAGGUGAGUGGAAUUCCGAGUGUAGAGGUGAAAUGCGCAGAUAUCGGGAAGAACACCCGUGGCGAAGGCGGCUCUCUGGGACGGUACUGACGCUGAGACGCGAAAGCGUGGGGAGCGAACAGG
rnacentral:rRNA from 1 species